UUUUUUUUUUGAGCUCACUUGCUUCUCGCUGCAAGCGUUUCCAUGCACGAACCAUACUCUGAUAAGCACAAGGAACCAAAAUUCCCAUGACCACAUGGGAGUCUCCCAACCCCAUCUUACAGAUGGGUGACUGAGGAUGGGAGAGGUGAAAGGACCAUCCUAGAUUAAUAAGGGGCACAGGCAGAGUGAGUGACCCCAGAACCCUAACCCCAGAAGGGCUCCCACAGCCUCAUUCUGGGGCGCCAACCCCAAGACCCACUCUGCCCUGGCUGUGAAUUGACUCAUGCCACAGAGGAGUUACAGGGCCCAUCUAGGCCAGUGAGAUCCUGCUAUCCUACCAAUACCAAGGGGCCUGGAGCUGCUAGCAUCCUGUAUGCAUGAAUCUGGUUUCUACAUGAUAACCUCUGGGCUCAUACCUACCACUAGGUCAAAUCGCAGCUGUGGCUCUAACUUGCCCCACAGCCCUGGUCUUCUCUCUCCUGGUCCCAGUGCCAAAUGACAAGGACCCAGGAAGCUGAGGGUCCAUAUAAAGGAUGAAGUGAGAUCUCGUCAACUCCUCCAUGCUGGCAGCCUGGGGCCUCAAGUAUCUCUGAAAGCCCCAGGAUUCUGACUUUCCUAUGUGUGAGGCAUGAGGAAGAGGCUCCAAAAGGGCUCAGAUCAAGACCUGAGGAGCUGGCCUUUGAAGCUAAGAACACUAAGCCACACACACCAUCCUAUAGACAGCAUGUAGACCACGUCUCCCUUCCCAGGGUGUCCUCCUCCUCAGACACACACAGGGAGGACCAGAGCUGGAGUAGAGGGUGAGGGGGUGGGUUGUUAGGAAGACACCGCCACAGCCUGCUGGCCGCAAGUAUAGAGACGGGUACCACCUUCUAAAAUCCCCCUGGGACCCCUCCCCAGCCACCUGCAUCCACAGAGCACCUGGAUGUCUGAUGGCUCUGGCCUUUACUAGCCCUGAUUCUCAUCCCGGAAAUAGGUCCGCUGGUCUCAUCUGCUGCCAUGGGCCAGGCUUUGCAUAGAGGGUGUUUGAGAAAGCUGGAGAAUCCCACCAGCCUUCUGCCCCUUCUUUCUGUGUGUCUCCUUCCUGGCUAGUCCUGUGCUCCUCUGUUCCCUGACCUCUUCUUGCAGCCUCAAGUCUUUCUCUUUUUUUCUCCACAGCACUUACAGAACCCCGCCAACUUCCACAAUGCUGCUACAGAGCUGCUGGAUUGGUGUGGAGACCCUCGAGCCUUCCAGAGGCCCUUUGAGCAGAGCCUCAUGGGCUGCCUGACGGUGAGUCUUCAACUUCCCCUUCAUAGCACACUGGGAAGCAUGGCCCUGGGGUCAGAAGUCCUGCCCACAUACCUUUCUGUGGGCCCCAAAUGCUGGGGGAACAGCUGCCCGUGCUGCAAGCUGGCCCUGCAGGGGCACACAACCCCACUGCCAGGUCUGAUAUGGAGACCGUCUUUAUGGGAUGUGUGGCUUCCUCACACUUGAUGAGAAGCACACAGUGGGGACCAGUGCUCCCUCAGAGGCAGGGGAGCUCGGAGGACUCAGCCUUCUUUUCCCAAGGCCAUUUAUUCCUUUAUCGGCUGAGCAUUUAUUGAGCUUCGCUCUGGUUGUCUGUCUGUCCACUCAAGAGCAGGUAUAGAGCCCCUGUGACAUUCAUCCGUCUGGACAAAUAGACCUUGAUUGAUCCCUCAUUUAUCACUUGUGGUCCCCUCUGCCAAGUCCUGGAUACCCCC
rnacentral:lncRNA from 1 species